rnacentral:lncRNA from 1 species
GGAAGGAGGCGUCAGGGGGGCUAUAAAAUUAAAACGCCUUUUCCGUCGGGGAGAUAAAUCGAGGGACGGGUAUGGCAAGCGUCGGCAACAGUGGCUGGGAACAAGAACCGUACGUGAUUUUGACAUACGUGUAGCCCUGCUAAUUGGGUUGUAACCCAUGUUGUAACCCCACCAAUCCAUUCUCACAAGAAAAUAAAUAUAACCAAAUCUCCAUCAUCACACACCACACCACCCCAAACUUUCCAUUGCAUAAGUUAUACAAACUGCUUGUCAAAUAUGGUUACAACCCAAUAAAAACCCAUUAGGUACCCAAUAAAAACCCAUUAGGUAGUUUUUUUUUGAGUUUGUAUGCAACUCUUGACACGGAGCCCACAUGUUUCUGUCAAUUUCUCUAAAAUUUUAAGGUGUGAACACGAGGUUUUAGUUUUAGGCUCCGACUCUUGACAGGCAAGGCUCUAGGCUUUUAUGGAUUCUUAACGGGUCUCAACCCCAGGUUGAGAGAUUUUUUGACCCCAAAAUACACAAUACUACACACCCCAAACACCAUCUAAACUAUUUGUUUGUAAAACGUAAACCAAACCAUCUAUUAGGCCAAUCCAUUACAAACCAACCCAAAUGAGCUUAUUAUAGAAACUAAACCAAUAAAACCAAUAAAUUCAACCCAAUUAUAUUAACAGGGCUACAUACGGAGUACUAGUAUGAAGUAUUUACUAUAUGUCUGUUGACUACUACACACCAAAAGAUGCCGACAUCACAUCAAGAGUUCAAUUAUUCACAUCCCGAUCUUGAUCUGAGUCUGUAGUUUUGGAAAAUUGGUGUGUAUGACAGACAAUGAGUUUACUUUGCAUUCUUAGAUUUCAAAUGUGUAUCGUAUAAGUGUAUCGUAUGUAUGGCAUACUCUCUCAGUCCCAAAAAGAAUACAACUUGAUCACACUUCCCGAGGAGUCAAAC